rnacentral:rRNA from 1 species
CCACAUGGGGAUUGCCCUCAGUAGCGGGGCGAGUGAGCGGCAAAGCUCAAAUUUGAAAUCUGGCGUCUUUGGCGUCCGAGUUGUAAUUUGAAGAAGGUAUCUUUGGGCCCGGCUCUUGUCUAUGUUCCUUGGAACAGGACGUCACAGAGGGUGAGAAUCCCGUGCGAUGAGAUGACCCGGGUCUGUGUAAAGUUCCUUCGACGAGUCGAGUUGUUUGGGAAUGCAGCUCUAAGUGGGUGGUAAAUUCCAUCUAAAGCUAAAUAUUGGCGAGAGACCGAUAGCGAACAAGUACAGUGAUGGAAAGAUGAAAAGAACUUUGAAAAGAGAGUGAAAAAGUACGUGAAAUUGUUGAAAGGGAAGGGCUUGAGAUCAGACUUGGUAUUUUGCAUGCUGCUCUCUCGGGGGCGGCCGCUGCGGUUUACCGGGCCAGCAUCGGUUUGGAGCGGCAGGAUAAUGGCGGAGGAAUGUGGCACGGCUUCUGCUGUGUGUUAUAGCCUCUGACGAUACUGCCAGCCUAGACCGAGGACUGCGGUUUUUACCUAGGAUGUUGGCAUAAUGAUCUUAAGUCGCCCGUCUUGAACAACGGACCCA